rnacentral:ribozyme from 11 species
AAAAAAACAGAAAGAAAGAAAGAAAGAAAGGACAGGCGAGGAUUUGGCUCAAACGAGGCAGGCAAUUCACCUCUUUGUUUUUCAUCCGUUCUCUCUCU